GAUGAACGCUGGCGGCGUGCCUAAUACAUGCAAGUCGAGCGAACAGACGAGGAGCUUGCUCCUCUGACGUUAGCGGCGGACGGGUGAGUAACACGUGGAUAACCUACCUAUAAGACUGGGAUAACUUCGGGAAACCGGAGCUAAUACCGGAUAAUAUAUUGAACCGCAUGGUUCAAUAGUGAAAGACGGUUUUGCUGUCACUUAUAGCUGGAUCCGCGCCGGAUUAGCUAGUUGGUAAGGUAACGGCUUACCAAGGCAACGAUGCGUAGCCGACCUGGGAGGUGGAUAGGCCACACUGGAACUGAAACACGGUCCAGACUCCUACGGGAGGCAGCAGUAGGGAAUCUUCCGCAAUGGGCGAAAGCCUGACGGAGCAACGCCGCGUGAGUGAUGAAGGUCUUCGGAUCGUAAAACUCUGUUAUUAGGGAAGAACAAAUGUGUAAGUAACUAUGCACGUCUUGACGGUACCUAAUCAGAAAGCCACGGCUAACUACGUG
rnacentral:rRNA from 1 species